GAAAGGAAGAGAGAAAGGAAGAGGAGGAAGGAGAGGAAGAAGGAAGAGGAGGGAGGAGCUCACCUUGACUCCUGGCUUCGUAUCCCACUACUGGAAUCUUACUGGAGAUAAUGAUGCAGGUACUGUGGUACCGAUGGGAUAUGACUCUACCUCUGCACCUGAGUACGAAGUGAUCGACUGGUGGAUGACAGAAGCAGAAGAGCACGAACAAGAUUGUGCCUGUGACACCUGUGCCUAUUCAACAUCUUGAGAGGCUAGGUGUCUUUUUGAUAUUCUGAUACCGAACUGGUUAAUGGUAUUUUAUUGGAUUUAACAUAUGUAAGGCAUGGACAUAGGUGACUUGAAUAACUCAGUUAUAGAUAUAUGUUAUCAUUA